GCUGUUUUGCUUGCUACUGCUUGCUGUAAUUAAUAAAAUUCUAAUUGACCUUAAAAAGGCUGAAUCAAAUUAUUCGCCUCAAUUUAUCACAGGGAGAAGGCUAAAGGGAGGGGAAAUAUAACAUUAACCAGUGGGGAAAAGGGAAAGGAGUGUUCUUGGUGGAAGAACCAAAGGGAAAACGUGGAACAGAGAAGAUUCUAGGCUAAGGGGCAGACUUGAACAAUAACUGACAAGACAGGGGGAGGGUACAAUUCUCUUACAAAAGGGGGUGGAGAACUCAUACAACUGCUGUUUCCCAUGGCAACCCUAGACUGCCUUCCCCAACCCCUCCUCCUACACCAGUGACAGCUUUUCACACUGAAGGGCAGUGCUAUUGUAUAACAAACACUUAACUCUUAGCCCAGCCGCUGGCUCGCUGGCUACUUUUGCAAGCUUUUUACCAACUAGCGAUGCUUGUAAGCGGUGCUUGUAACUCCUAGCUUGUACCACGCUCCCACUAGCUGCGCUAUCAGCUAGCGGCGUUCAAAGCAGCUCCUCAAACCGCGGCUUGUGCCCGCGCGCCCGCUGCGCUAUCAGCUGGGCUGCGCCUAAAGCACCUUUGCAAGCCCCGACUUAAGCCCCGCGCCGCGCUCCCCCCGCUCGCCAGGGACAGCCCGUGCCACGCAUGCGCACCACCCGCUCUAUCAGGUAGAGUGCGCACUACCCGCACUAUCAGGUAGUGUGGCUGAGAGCUGCCCUGCGCAUGCGCCCCACCCGCUCUAUCAGGUAGAGUGGCUGCUAGCCGCCCCGAGCAUGCGCACUACCCGCACUAGCAGGUAGUGUGGGCUGAGAGCUGCCCUGCGCAUGCGCUCUCUAGCACUGCCGCGCCGCCUCUCUCUAUCUUAGCAACGCCGCACCGCGCAUCACCGUUCCACUCACACAUACACACACACGCACAAGCACGCACGUCCGGACGUAACAGACACACUACACUGCAAUCGGGACACACACCACACACUGAAAUCGCGAUUUCGCCCUCCCCGAGCCGCGCUAUCAGCUGGGGAGGUCCUCCCGCCGCCGGCCUCUCCCCCGAUGGCGGUCUGCUUGCAAGCCCCUAGGCAAACCUGCGCGCAAAAACAUCUUUUUGCGACUUAUCAGUGCCAACCUUAAGAAAAUAAAUUAAUACAUACCGCUUUCAUCCGCUAGUCGACGGGCCGUGGUACGCUCCCCGCAGUGUACAGCCGAGGCGCAGAGUCCCUCCGGGGAAAAGCCCCGUGGCGCCUGAGGGUGUCUGCUCCCAACCGGACCUGCGGGUGAGCAGAGCAGUCCCUUCGUGGUCGCCAACUGAAACGAUACGCGGAAUAAAUCAAUAGACUCCAUAACCUGGGGUCGUUAUGAAGUGGACGUUCCAUAUGCAAUACACUGCACGACUUUUUCAUGCGUAUUCAACCCCUGGCCCCGCCUGUCCUCGCUUCUCAUGCUAACAGCUGCCACCGUGUUCUCUGCAUCUCGGAGCCUCUGGGGAGCAACAAGAAUUUCCAAGACGGUGUAGGAGCCCGUCUGAAGCCCCUCAUUUUCCGUUCUGCCUUCCGAUUGCCACGAGAAAGAAUCCCUUCCUCCACUGCAGUUCCGGCUUAGAACAGGACACAGUGCAGGUGCAACCACUGAACCGUCAUGCUAGCUGUUCCGAACAAGACCUGGCAAGAACUUGGCAAGGACUUGGCAAGGACUUGGCAAAGACCUGACGUGGACCCAGCACGGGACAGCGUGAUGCGCGGCCUGCUUCUAAUCUCCGUUCUUAAGCCAAAUGAACUUUUGGGGUGACUCCCGGGGUCCUUCAUUGAAGACCCCUCAUCUGCCUCGUUACCAGUGUGACAAACAAAGAAUGAGAACCCUCCUCCCAAGGACUGAGACUGAGACCCCUGCUAUAGGGAGGAGGGGAAAUUGGUGGUCUGACCACUAAUGACAUGACCUGUUUCCCUUCAGUGAUUCAAAUGGACUUAUUCUUCAUUGUAUUCGUCUUGCUUUGGUGGUUUCUGUGGACUCAGCUGUUCCCGCGUGGCGAUUACAAUGGACUUUCGUUGUUACACUUGCUCCCCCCUCUUUCCUCUGUGGACUAUAACUGGAGCCCCGAGUCGACCAGAACUUCGGAGACUCCCCCGACACGACAGACGGAUCCCCAUCGUCCGGACCACUGAGGAUCUCGCCUGUGUUGGUAGCUAUUCCCAUACCCCUCUUCUCUCUCUCUCUCUCCUUUUAUCUCCUUUCCGAUCCCCACUAUCGCAUUUACUGUUUUGGCCCCUAAUAAAGGUGCAUUUGUUGUGAUUAA